rnacentral:tRNA from 1 species
GGGGCUGUGGCUCAGUGGUAGAGCACUAGCUUUGCAUGUGUGAGACACUGGAUUCAAUUUUCAGCAGCACCG